GACGAACGCUGGCGGCGUGCUUAACACAUGCAAGUCGAACGAAGAGCGAUGGAAGCUUGCUUCUAUCAAUCUUAGUGGCGAACGGGUGAGUAACGCGUAAUCAACCUGCCCUUCAGAGGGGGACAACAGUUGGAAACGACUGCUAAUACCGCAUACGAUCUAAUCUCGGCAUCGAGGAUAGAUGAAAGGUGGCCUCUACAUGUAAGCUAUCACUGAAGGUGGGGAUUGCGGCUGAUUAGCUAGUUGGAGGGGUAACGGCCCACCAAGGCGAUGAUCAGUAGCCGGUAGGAGGGGACGAAUGGCCACACUGGGAGGGAGACACGGCCCAGACGGCUAGGGGAGGCAGCAGUGGGGAAUCGGCCGGAAGCGGUGAAAGACUGACGGAGAAACGCCGCGGGAGGGAUGACGGACGUCGGGUUGGAAAGGUCGGUUAAUCGGUACGAAAGGGCUUCUUGCGAAUAGUGAGAAGGAUUGACGGUAACGGAAUAGAAAGCCACGGCUAACUACGUG
rnacentral:rRNA from 1 species